GUGCAGCAGGCGAGAAUACUUUACAAUGUGCGAAAGCACGAUAAGGGAACUCUGAGUGCCUCCUAAGGAGGCUGUUCAGGUGUCUAAAAGCACCUGAAGGAAGGGCUGGGUAAGACCGGUGCCAGCCGCCGCGGUAACACCGGCAGCCCAAGUGGUAGCCACGUUUAUUGGGUCUAAAGCGUCCGUAGCCGGCUGGGUAAGUUCCUUGGGAAAUUUGGCUGCUUAACAGUCAAGCUUUCAGGGAAUACUGCCCGGCUUGGGACCGGGAGAGGUCAGAGGUACUCCAGGGGUAGGGGUGAAAUCCAUUAAUCCUUGGGGGACCACCGGUAGCGAAGGCGUCUACAGACGGUCCGGACGGUGAGGACGAAGGCGUAGGGGCGGCGAACCGGACGUUAGAUACCCCGGUACGGU
rnacentral:rRNA from 1 species